CACUUCCGCCCCACGCCCAGGAAACCGGAAGGGGACCUUUUUCGCCGGCGGGAAAGGGGUUUGAGGCGUAGAAAGGGUACAAAGUAGAUGGUACUGUGUGUCUGGUAGAGUAAAGGCCGGCUCUGCUCACCUGGCGGGGUUAGUGACAGCGGCGUCCUAGAUAGCAGACUUGGCGUACGGGGUUCCAGGGGAUGCAGCAGGGAGCGGGAGUGGAGGUGACAGGACCCCUCCAGGAGAGGACCUGUUGCUGGGUAUGUGUGCUCCCUUGAAGCAGAAAGCAAUUGUUCCCAUUUGGAUUAUUCAAAUAUUAUGAAGGCACAGUCCCUGCCUUUGACCUGCUUACAAUCAAAUGGAGGAGACACAGUGGUUACAGGGUAGCCACUUAGGGAUUCUAAAAUAGAUUUAUCAGCAGGCUGCAGGUGCACAUGGCCUUGAGGUAAAGACUGUCCCUUGUUGAAACUUAGUUUUAACAGAUUAUUCAUUGUACUUUAAAAAACUGGAAUCUUAUAAAAAGCAAAUUAUGUUUAGUUUUAUUAUAGACAUCUUUUUCCUAUAGAAGUUGAAAAAGGUGUUUAAACAAAAGGUUUGUUAUGUAAAUGAUUGCAAUUCCUGAAGGUGGUUGUUUCCAUUGUUUAAAUGAUUUGACAUGUUAAAGAUAACUCCAGACAGUUUAUUCUUUCUCUAAUAAAUAUUUAUUAAAACCUAA